GGAGAGGAGGGGAGUGGAGGGCAGCGACAGCCUAAAGUUCUGCAUUGCUCAAGUCUUGUGAUAAACACUUUUUUUUAAAACAUAUAUACAUACAAUCCUCAUCGUGAGUGAACCAAAUAAUUCGCCUCCCGUGGAGUGUGAAGUAUAAAACCCACAAAGCCAACGCCAGUACAGCAGAGUGUAUAUAUAUUUGUAUGCACUGUAUGUGUGUUCGCCGACAACUUGUUAAAACGCGCCGCAAAGGAGACGUUACGCAAACAGAAGAGAAAGAGAGACGCGAGACGCAGAGAGGCAUGCCGGAGGAGGGACCUUCGGCGGCUGAUUCAUCAGUCCUCUUUGUCAAUCCACUGCUGGACGAAGGCCUCCUCUUCGAGCACGCUUCAGCACAGGGGCGGUGGUGAUAACACUCGAUUUAACCGAAGUCAGGACUCUCCGGGUUCAUAUCGUAGUGCAGUGCGCUAACCACGGCGCCACCGCUCCCAGCGUGGCGAAGUAUGGUCGAACAUCCCCAAUGACCAACACGGCGUGAAGAGGAGGCUUUCAUCCAGCAGUGGAUCGACAAUGGACUGUGCUCCUGGUUUCCUGCCAUAUGAAGCCAAACAUUCGCGGUUUUGUUGGCCAAACAUCCCACGCCUUCUACGUCUUCACCCACGCUCUCCAUUGGUGACCUGGGCCGUCCGGGCACUCGCCACCGAGCCGGCUUGCACGACGCCUGCCGUUUGAUUUACGCUGCAGCCAGCCGCCUCACGGUUCAUUCUGCGACUCGCCGACAACACUCCACCCGCGACCACGUGGAGCAUUGCAUUCUCCGGGAGAUGUCUGUCAUACGACCAGUUCAUGUCGUGCAGGUGGCAGAGCCCAAAAUUCCAGUUGAGGUGAAAUACUGGCGUAUAAAUCGCGUUGUGUUAUGAACCCAGUGACCCGAGUUCGAUUCCCGGCCGUGGCUAAUAUAUAGUUGGAGAGUAAUAUCAGAACUGGUUAUGGGUCCCUCUUCACCAACCCGCACUGACCAGCAUGGUCAAAGUACCCCCAGCACUGACACAGCAUUAGUAGGCCUUCAUCCAGCGGUAGAUUGGCAAAGGGAUAUUGUUGGCUUUUUAAACAUCAUUACAGUAUUAUGAAUAACAAAAAAUAAAAAUUAUAAUAAUGACGUCCAUGCCCGAGUAACAUCUCUCUGGUGAACGAGAGAACGGACUUGCAGUAGGCCAACAACUGGUUAAAAAAAGGACAGCAAACGGAAGAUCACAGACGGACGACGCACGGAUGCAUUUACAUUCCCCAGAAGUGUUUACGAGCUUACAGUACAGUGCAUCACCAAGGCUGACAGAUUAAUUUUCAGGAAGAGCCAUGGGGGCGACAGCACCACAUGGAGUCUGCGGAGUAACCUUUUAAAAAUUUAUUGUUAAUUACCUUUAGAGCGCAGCGCUUUUCAUCACAUCUGCUGAACAAAAUCAAAUCGGCUUUUACGCAAAGAAAUACAUUUGUCGAAGUAAAAGUGGGUGAAACGAAGACCAUUUAAUACAUAAUUAUGCUUGCCUCAUUCAUGAGUUUUUU